UAACUACUCGCGGUACGGGGAAUCUGGUUUAAAGGGUCGCAUAGGGUUGUUGGAUUUCAGAAGUGCUAUAUGCCAAAAUGGUCCUGCCCUCCGGUGUUUUAUGUCUGGCCCCUGUCUGUACAUAGUGGUUGGAAAAUAUUGUUUAACGCUUAUAUAAUAAUAAUAAUACUAAGACUAAUAGUUGGUCACGAUAAAUAUUAGACUAAAAUUUAGCGAUAAUAAUGCUAGGUUUCGUCAAAGGAAAAUAGAAUCGUUAGAAGCAAGCGCUGCCCGAUUUUGGAAUCAUCACCUUAACAAGUAGUGGCGCAUGAGCAUAGGUGUGAUGUUUUGGACGAGGGAUUACAUAUAUAGGCCUGUAGAUAUGAAAUAAUGUAGUAAGGCUUAUAUUGUACUGUUUAUGCUUUUGAUCUGUACGAACAUGACAUCCCGAGUCUUUUAAUGAAAUACAUUUCUAUGGAAA